AGGAUGAACGCUGGCGGCGUGCUUAACACAUGCAAGUCAUGGGGGCCCGAGGCGCAAGCCUUGGGCAACCGGCGAACGGGUGCGUAACACGUGAGCAACCUACCCAGGUGUGGGGGAUAGCCGUCCCAACGGACGGGUAAUACCGCAUACGCUCAACACGAGGCAUUUCGAGUUGAGGAAACCUUCGGGGCACCAUGGAGGGCUCGCGGCCUAUCAGCUAGUUGGCGAGGUAACGGCUCACCAAGGCUACGACGGGUAGCUGGUCUGAGAGGAUGACCAGCCACAUUGGACUGAGAAACGGCCCAGACUCCUACGGGAGACAGCGAGUGGGGAAUCGUUGCGCAAGUGGCCUAACGGCUGACGCAGCGACGCCGCGUGGAGGAUCGACGCGUCGUUCGGAGUUACGGUAAACCCUUCUUUUAGUCCGUACGGAAACGUAACUAUACC
rnacentral:rRNA from 1 species